CAUGCUUAAAUAUCCCAAGACUGCCAAAAAGGGCCCCCGACAAAUGACUUUCUCUACUGUCAGGAAGGGCACCUUUUCUUGUUUAAGCUGCAUUCACUGCUCCAGUAUAAUAAAAGGUCCUUAUAUUUCACACCCACAUAGUGGGGAACAAAUUCCUGUAAAGGGCCACUUUACGUGUAAUAGUUCCUUUAUUAUAUAUCUAUUGAAAUGUCCGUGUGAACUCUGCUACGUAGGGGAAACUACAAUGCGCAUGAAGGAUCGAUUUGCGAAACAUAAAUCGACCAUUCGCAACGAAAAUUUAUUAUUACCGAUUCCUUUGCAUUUUUCACAACAGAAACAUAACGUGUCCCAGCUUAGGUUUCAAAUCAUUGAGGAGGUACUACCGCCUCGAAGGGGAGGAAAUAGGGUGGAGUUAUUAUUGAAACGUGAAGCCUAUUUGAUUCACCGCCUACAAACGAUGACACCCAAGGGGUUGAAUCGUGAGUACGCGGUGAGUAGUUUUCUAUGAGCAUAUAUAAGAAUUAUCUAUUGCGAUUAAUUAUGCUUUUACAUUCGUAUAGGUAAUCAUUUUUUGUUUCUA